rnacentral:rRNA from 1 species
CUUACACAUGCAAGUCGAACGGCAGCACGGGAGCAAUCNGGUGGCGAGUGGCGAACGGGUGAGUAAUAUAUCGGAACGUGCCCAGUCGUGGGGGAUAACGUAGCGAAAGCUACGCUAAUACCGCAUACGAUCUAUGGAUGAAAGCGGGGGAUCGCAAGACCUCGCGCGAUUGGAGCGGCCGAUAUCAGAUUAGCUAGUUGGUGGGGUAAAGGCCCACCAAGGCGACGAUCUGUAGCUGGUCUGAGAGGACGACCAGCCACACUGGAACUGAGACACGGUCCAGACUCCUACGGGAGGCAGCAGUGGGGAAUUUUGGACAAUGGGCGCAAGCCUGAUCCAGCAAUGCCGCGUGCAGGACGAAGGCCUUCGGGUUGUAAACUGCUUUUGUACGGAACGAAAAGGUCUGCCCUAAUACGGCGGGCUCAUGACGGUACCGUAAGAAUAAGCACCGGCUAACUACGUGCCAGCAGCCGCGGUAAUACGUAGGGUGCAAGCGUUAAUCGGAAUUACUGGGCGUAAAGCGUGCGCAGGCGGUUUUGUAAGACAGAUGUGAAAUCCCCGGGCUCAACCUGGGACCUGCAUUUGUGACUGCAAAGCUAGGGUACGGCAGAGGGGGAUGGAAUUCCGCGUGUAGCAGUGAAAUGCGUAGAUAUGCGGAGGAACACCGAUGGCGAAGGCAAUCCCCUGGGCCUGUACUGACGCUCAUGCACGAAAGCGUGGGGAGCAAACAGGAUUAGAUACCCUGGUAGUCCACGCCCUAAACGAUGUCAACUGGUUGUUGGGUCUUCACUGACUCAGUAACGAAGCUAACGCGUGAAGUGA